GGGUCCUUAGCUCAGCUGGUAGAGCACCGCACUUUUAAUGCGAUGGUCGCGAGUUCGAAUCUCGCAGGACCCACCA
rnacentral:tRNA from 3 species